CUGUUGCCCAGGCUGGUCUCAAACUCCUGACCUCAAGUGAUCUUCCUACCUCGGCCUCCCAAAGUGCUGGGAUUACAGGAAAUGGCCCGCCAGCUGCUGGCAGUGUUUGGCGGCUACUACAUCCGGCUUCUAGUGACCUCCCAGCUCCCUCAGGCAAUGGGGACACGACACACGAACUCUCCGAGAAUUCCAUGCCCCUGCCAGCUCAUAGAAGCCUACAUCCUAGGCACAGGGUGCUGCCCGUUCCUGGCGAGGUGACCUAGGGAUGAAGGUACUCAUCUUCCUUCAAGACUGAGCAGUCAGGAAGGCUUCAGGAGCCCAAGAUGGCCAAUGGGGAGCCCCAGGUGAGGAGAGAAGCAUCUGGGGGCACUCCAAAAGGGGCCUGUGAUGUCAGCCACUGGGGUGUUGUGCUCACUUCAGGGCCCAGCACAAAAAUCCUUGUUUGACAUCUCAUGCUGACCCCCUGGCCUUUGCAGAAGCUGAUGGUUACAGAGCUAGUCCCACCAAAGCUACUCUCUCUGCUGCUUAGAACUGUGGACACGUAUGGAAAGACUGGACCCCCAUUGCUUUCAUUGUUCAGAGAACCCAGGAGACAUGAAGAUGACCAGACUGGGCAAAUUAUGUGUCCAAAACUUGGCCUCAGAUGAUGUUUCCAUCUCCAACCCCUUCAUGCCAGAUGGGGAAACUGAGGCUCAGAGAGGAUACUGCUCUAUGUGGCAUUGCCUUGAACCCCUAAAAUUAUCAGACUUCCUUUUUCCAAUAUAAAGAAAAAAAGUAAGUUUUCAGAAUUCUCUCAAUUUUUAAGUUUUUCUCCCCCAUAUUUUGUGAAAAGCAGUGGUAUGUGUACGUGUUGUCUACCAGUACACAGGCUGCAGAAGACAGAGACAGAAGAAAGAGAUCAAGGGCAGAUAACUGUUGAUAGGAAUAUUUGAGAAAGAUUGAUCCUGUUUGACUUGAGGACUUAUUUUGUUCACAGGCAUGCACGCUUGUGGUUGUGGUUUUAUAUUACAGAUGUAGAACAAUGGUUAUGUUUCCCGACAUGAACAUUGUCCUGGAAUGAAGUGUGAUCAGCCACUUGUGGAAUUCUUUGAAGAGCUCAGAGGCUUCCAAGUGAUCUGCUCCUGAACAAGUUUGAAGACCUAUUGUUUCAUAGACCCAAGACCAAACGCAUCUAAAGGAUCCCCAGCCCCCAAGACCUAGCCUUUGUCUGCGAUUUUGGCUUCAUCUCCCACAAAACCCCUUUAUGAGUUCACGCUCUUUCCUGGACUGACAUACCUAUUCCUUUCCAUUUGUUGGACUCCUAUUCAUGCUUCAAAGUCCAGCUUUCUUAAGCCCUUCUUUAGGAAGCCUUCCCACACAGCCAACCCUGCUGCUCUCUGCCUCCUUUAAAUUCUUGAUACAGCUGCUGCUUGUUCUGAUGUUUUAUGGUAUUGAUUCUGUUUUCCUGUGUAUAUGCCAGUUUUUCUAGCUAGACUGUAAACUCCUUAAGGACAGAGACUACACCUUGUACUUUUUGUGCAUGACCUGGACCUGCUAAGGAAAAAAAAAUCUUGUGGAUUGAUUGCUUUGCCAUCCCCACAGCAGCUUUUGCAAAUUGCUUUCCAAACUCACUUGAAUGAUGACAUUGCUGUGGACCUGGGUUCUGGACCUGAUCUGCCACUUCAAGCUGUGUAAUUUUUGGCAAGUUGCUUUCUUUGCCUGGUCCUCAGUUUGCCCAUCAAUAUAAUGGGUGGAUUGGAUGAUUUUUUUUUUUUUAAUUGAGAUGGAGUCUUGCACUGUCACCCAGGCUGGAGUGCAGUGGCGCGAUCUUGGCUCACUGCAACCCCCGCCACCUAGGUUCAAGUGAUUCUCAUGCCUCAGCCUCCCAAGUAGCUGGGACUACAGGUGUGCACCACUACUCCUGGAUAUUUUUUUGUGUUUUUAGUAGAGAUGGGGUUUCGCCAUGUUGGCCAAGCUGGUCUUGAACUCCUGACCUCAGGUGAUCCACCCGCCUCGGGCUCCCAAAGUGCUGGGAUUACAGACGUGAGGCACCACAACCAGCCUGGAUGAUUCUUAAGGGCCCUUCUAGGACCAAAGUUCUGGGAAUUUCUAGCUUAUUCUGCCCCCUCAUAGCCCUUGGCCUAUCUAUCUUUAUCCACAUGCAGAAACAUCUGGCAACCCCACAUGGCUGAGAUGACCUGGUCCUAGGACACCCUUGGACAGAAGACUGGCCUACCUAGCAGACCUGGAUUUUUCUUCCUGAUCUGCUGCUUCCAAGUUGUGUGACCUUGGCUAAGUCACUUAACCUUUCUGAUUGUCAUUUCGCUUUUUAAUAAAGUGGGUCUGGUGAACAAGAAAUGUAAUAAACACGUGGCUUGCCAUUCAAGAGAUGAGUCUGACCAUUCACUUUCUGUGUGCCAGAGAAGAGAGAUCAUGGGUAUAGACCAGCCCCUGGAAAGGCUGCUUUGGUCAAGGCUGAGAGCAGCUUUGCUCAAGGAAAUUAUUCACGAAGGUGACCACUGUCUUUCUGACCUGGCACAGAGGAAAUGUUGGCUGUGAAUGUGACCAAUAGAAAGAAGCCCGUAUUUCUCAGUCAGUCCUAGAACCCCGGUAAGUAAUUAACAGAGAAUAAAAAUGUGUUUGUUAAAUGACAAAGCAGCAGUUUUUCAAUUGUAAGGUCUGCUUGAGAGCCUUUGAUGUGUGUUUCUUUUCCUGACUUUUCCUUUCUUUAGAAUUUUUGAUGGUCUCACCUGGUGGGUGGGGCUUUCAGGGUAUGCCCACAAUGUACAUUUCUCGGCAUCUGUGCCUCAGUUUCCUCAUUUAUAAAAUCCCUAUGAUCUCUGUCUCACCUACUUUACAGGGUUGCUGUGAAGAUCGCAUACUACACACAGGAAUGCUCAUCAGUUUUUAAAUUUUAUUUAAUUUUUAUUUAUUUUUUUUUAAAUGUAAUUUUUUCAGAGAGAUAAGGUCUUGCUAUGUUACCCAGCCUAGUCUUGAACUCCUGGCCUCAAGUGAUCCUCCUGCCUUGGCCUCCCAUGCUGCUGGGAUUACAGGUGUGAACUACCAUGCCCAGCCAGCUCCUAAGUCUUAAGGCUCUGUGUUAGUGAUAGAUGUGGCCAUGGUGUAGGCAGUGCAAUGUCUUCGAGUGAGAGUGAAGGUGGUAACUCAUUGCAUGGAUUCUAGAGUUCUGUUUAUUCUAAUCCAAGUUCUUCCACUUAAAAACAAUGUUCUUCCUCUCAUUGAGUCUCAUUCCUCAUCUAUAGGAUGGGAAUAAGAGCAUGUACCUGGCAGGUUGUUG
rnacentral:lncRNA from 1 species